AUGGAGCUUUUUGCUCAUUGCAAAAGACCCGCAGUGUUUCCCAGGAAACUUCUUCAGCGAAGAAUGAUAGACUCAUCCCAGAGAGGAAGCUCGAAGUCAGCUCACCCUCGAGGAACUCUGUCUCUGUGUUCACUUUCCCCCAGCGCACCUCGCAUGCUGUUCCUACAACCCCUUCCCUCUCCUCCAAUAGGUACGCUCUUCCGUGCUUCCCCCAUCCUUGCCGCCCCAGCAUCCUCCCAGCUCUUCCCCAGUCAGCCACCUUAGGUCUGGGGAUCCUCGGGAAAUGCCGCAGCCUUCCUCUGGGCGGGAGUCAAUUCUGAUCAAUGGCAAGUACAGAGGGCAGAACGCAGGGCGAAAGCGAAGACCUCGGGCUGGGUGGGUUUUAGGAAGUAAGCGAGGGAAAACGUUAGUGAAAUUUGCAUGUAGCCCACAGCUUCUAGGGUGCCCCUUUUCCCUCUCACGGUUUCUGCAAAGUCUAUCCUGCCCUCUGGUGGCAGUCCUUUGUUACUGCACAGUCCCCUUUUGGACCGUAAGCAUUUUUUAGCCUCUGACUUUCGGAGCUUUGGUGAUAUUUGCUUUACAUAUGAGAUACCUUGGAGAAGAGAGGUGUAAUAGUUACUUUUUU
rnacentral:lncRNA from 1 species